AAGAAUACUUUGAAAAAGAAAAGUAACUUAAAUUAAAUUUUGCAGAGAAGAAACAGUUGGUGAAAGUUUCUAAAUUAAGUUUAAGUGAAGUGCCCUUUGGAGUUAUGUGGUCGAAUUAAUAGUAGAUUACAUCGGAUUCACCCGUUAUAGUGAUAGAACAUAGCGCUGUGUUCGAUUAAGAGUUGGAUUUUUUUAAAAAUCUAAUUAGAGUGGAACCACGGAGUAUAAACUUCGUCUCUAUA
rnacentral:ncRNA from 1 species